rnacentral:lncRNA from 13 species
AUGAGGACACGCUCUGUGUGUCCAGGAAACUGUGAUUUACACAGCCCCUGCCCCGUGUGCUCACACACACACACACACACACACGGGCUGUGCUGCUCAGCCUGUGGAACCAGCCUGACACCCCUGCUCAACUCAUGCUUCACUUCUUCCCACAGGCUGCAAGAAGCCAGGCCAAAGGAUAAAACUGGAAUAUUUAGGAUUCUGACCAUCAGCUUAACAUGGCAAAGGUAUGGAGUUGUACAAACCUUAAACACAGCCUCAUGUUUUAUAGGACGGGUCAUUUACAGAUCAAAUCCUGCUUUAGAAUUUACAUCAAAAAUCAGAGAUCAGCCAAAACCAGAAAUCAAACACAGAGUGUUUCCAACUCAGUAUUUGCUUAUUGUGGGGUUAUUUGAUAGUGGAAACCGAGAAGAGGCAACACAAAGUUCACUGAAUGAUGCACAAGACACAGACUGGCAACAUCAGCCAAGAAAAGAGGCUUGGAAUUCAGAUUUCCCCUGCAAGUUAAACAGCACCACUACGGAAAUGUGGUCAGCAGUCUCAGCCUGGCAGAAUCUGCAGCCAGAAGUGGAUUUGUUUCGCUCCCAGCUUUUCUUGAAAAUCCGAGUGUCAAGGAUAUAUAAAAUAAAGGAAGGAAAUCAACCUCAGGAAGCCGCGGCCAAGGACGGUGGGUGCCAGCUCCAAGGGGGAGAGGGGAUGGGCACGGCAGCGUCCAGCUGGAGAGAAACCAGGAGCUGGUGGAACGGGGUGGGAAACCAGCUGGGGAAAAACUGGGGCAUCUGCACUGGGAUACAGCUGGUUUGGGUAAUCCUUGAAAGAACACAGAGCUAUAGGAUGGGACAGGACAAGGAGAGUGGAUUUAGAUGGGAUCUUGGGAAGGAAUUCCUGGCUGGGAGGGUGGGCAGGCCCUGGCACAGGGUGCCCAGAGAAGCUGGGGCUGCCCCUGGAUCCCUGGCAGUGCCCAAGGCCAGGCUGGACAUUGGGGCUGGGAGCAGCCUGGGACAGUGGGAGGUGUCCCUGCCAUGGCAGGGCUGGCACUGGAUGAGCAUUCAGUUCCCUUCCCACCCAAACCACUCAGGGAUUCUGUGA